rnacentral:rRNA from 1 species
UGGGGAAUUUUGGACAAUGGGCGAAAGCCUGAUCCAGCAAUGCCGCGUGUGUGAAGAAGGCCUUCGGGUUGUAAAGCACUUUUGUCCGGAAAGAAAUCCUUGGCUCUAAUACAGUCGGGGGAUGACGGUACCGGAAGAAUAAGCACCGGCUAACUACGUGCCAGCAGCCGCGGUAAUACGUAGGGUGCAAGCGUUAAUCGGAAUUACUGGGCGUAAAGCGUGCGCAGGCGGUUUGCUAAGACCGAUGUGAAAUCCCCGGGCUCAACCUGGGAACUGCAUUGGUGACUGGCAGGCUAGAGUAUGGCAGAGGGGGGUAGAAUUCCACGUGUAGCAGUGAAAUGCGUAGAGAUGUGGAGGAAUACCGAUGGCGAAGGCAGCCCCCUGGGCCAAUACUGACGCUCAUGCACGAAAGCGUGGGGAGCAAACAGGAUUAGAUACCCUGGUAGUCCACGCCCUAAAACGAUGUCAACUAGUUGUUGGGGAUUCAUUUCCUUAGUAACGUAGCUAACGCGUGAAGUUGACCGCCUGGGGGAGUACGGUCGCAAGAUUAAAAACUCAAAGGAAUUGACGGGGUCAUAGCUGUUUCCU